UGAAAAGAGAGACUGACCUAGCCGCCCAGCCUACAUCUUUCUCCCAUGCUGGAUACUUCCUGCCUUCGAACACGGAACUUCAAGUUCUUCCGUUUUGGAACUUGGACUGUCUCUCCUUGCUCCUCAGUCUUUAGACAGCCUACUGUGGGACCUUGUGAUCAUGAACAACUAUCCUGAGCUGCUGUUCAUGAUUCAGGUUGGCAUCAAUCAAAUUGGAAGCACAUGAAUUAUACAUUAUUGUUUCUGAGCCACAGUUAUCUUCUACAGCACAUCUUUUGAGUAAAGACAUGCAAGUAGUACUGAAACGACUGCAAUGUGAUAAUCACGGAGACUGGACUGGUUCAACAUCCAGAUGUUUCGAUUUUUUUGAUAAAUCAAUCUCCAAGGUUCAGCUCAUUCACAGUGUGAGGCUACUUACCUGUUCAAAGUACAUCACUUUUGUCCUCCAGUUUUCAUAUUGGCUUCCUGUCAAGAUAAGACAUCAGAAAGAAAAUAACACAACUUUUCUAAAGGUCAGUGGGACAUCACAGAAAAAUGAUGUAUCAAGACCUUCGGUUAAUCAAAUUAAUGAUGUAAACUCUAUGAAGCAAAGACAUUGUGUUGUUCACAGCUGUAUCUACAAAGCCUGGAUUAGUGGUUGGGUGCACGAUGAUUAGGAACAUCCUGUCUGAUGCACUGACAUUUGGGCAGUAAGCCAAAUAAUGAGGAGAAGUGAGCCAUGCUAAUACCUAGAAGGACGGCUUUCCAGGAGAAGGGAACACUAAGGGUAAAAGCCUGAGGCAGCACAAAGGA
rnacentral:lncRNA from 1 species